UACGGAGGGUGCGAGCGUUGUUCGGAAUUAUUGGGCGUAAAGCGCGUGUAGGCGGUUUGUUAAGUCUGAUGUGAAAGCCCCGGGCUCAACCUGGGAAGUGCAUUGGAAACUGGCAGACUUGAGUACGGGAGAGGAGAGUGGAAUUCCCAGUGUAGGAGUGAAAUCCGUAGAUAUUGGGAGGAACACCGGUGGCGAAGGCGGCUCUCUGGACAGAUACUGACACUGAGGCGCGAAAGCGUGGGAAGCAAACAGG
rnacentral:rRNA from 1 species